AAUAUUGGGCAAUGGAGGCAACUCUGACCCAGCCAUGCCGCGUGCAGGAAGACUGCCCUAUGGGUUGUAAACUGCUUUUAUAUAGGAAGAAACUUUUUCACGUGUGAGAAACUGACGGUACUAUAUGAAUAAGCACCGGCUAACUCCGUGCCAGCAGCCGCGGUAAUACGGAGGGUGCAAGCGUUAUCCGGAAUCAUUGGGUUUAAAGGGUCCGUAGGCGGGCAAUUAAGUCAGAGGUGAAAUCCCACAGCUUAACUGUGGAACUGCCUUUGAUACUGGUUGUCUUGAGUUACAGUGAAGUAGAUAGAAUAUGUAGUGUAGCGGUGAAAUGCAUAGAUAUUACAUAGAAUACCGAUUGCGAAGGCAGUCUACUAACUGUUUACUGACGCUAAUGGACGAAAGCGUGGGGAGCGAAC
rnacentral:rRNA from 1 species